CUUUUUCUCUGUCCCUAUUCUCCUUGUGUGUAAUCGUCAUAACAUUCCUGUCUUCGUUUCUCGAUCAUAGUAUCUAAAUUAAUUGAUACGAAGACGAAGAUAGAUAACGAAAAAUGAUAUUAUCUUUGAUAUUCCUAUAUCAUUCAACGAGGAAAUGUUUCAAUGAUUGCCAGGAAAAUGGCGUCAGUUUGGAAACUUGCAACACUUCGAUAUCAAACACUUCCUCGCAUCAUUGAAUUACCACGAAGGACGUGAUCCAGAUUGAAUAAAUUUUUCUCUAUUGCGAUUAUCAAAGGCAAUUGUUGAUAUAAGCUCGAUGAUAUUGUAACAAAUAAACUGUUCGAACGAUCGUUCGCCAUGAAAAAAUUCAACUUUUCCUUGUAAUCGAUAGAAUGAGAAAAAACAUGAUAUAACAUCGGA